GACAGAGGCCCCAAGCGUUAUCCGGAAUCAUUGGGCGUAAAGGGUGUGUAGGUGGCGCACUAAGUCGGGUGUGAAAUUUCGGAGCUUAACUCCGAAACUGCAUUCGAUACUGGCGUGCUUGAGGACUGGAGAGGAGACUGGAAUUUACGGUGUAGCAGUGAAAUGCGUAGAGAUCGUAAGGAAGACCAGUGGCGGAGGCGAGUUUCUGGACAGUAACUGACGCUGAGGCACGAAGGCCAGGGGAGCAAACGGG
rnacentral:rRNA from 1 species